rnacentral:rRNA from 1 species
AGUGAACGCUGGCGGCAGGCCUAAUACAUGCAAGUCGGACGGCAGCACAGCAGAGCUUGCUCUGUGGGUGGCGAGUGGCGGACGGGUGAGGAAUACAUGGGAAUCUGCCCAGUCGUGGGGGAUAACGUAUGGAAACGUACGCUAAUACCGCAUGCGCCCUUAGGGGGAAAGCCGGGGACCGAAAGGCCUGGCGCGAUUGGAUGAGCCCAUGUUCGAUUAGCUAGUUGGCGGGGUAAAGGCCCACCAAGGCGACGAUCGAUAGCUGGUCUGAGAGGAUGAUCAGCCACACUGGGACUGAGACACGGCCCAGACUCCUACGGGAGGCAGCAGUAGGGAAUAUUGGACAAUGGGCGCAAGCCUGAUCCAGCCAUGCCGCGUGAGUGAAGAAGGCCCUCGGGUUGUAAAGCUCUUUUGUCCGGAAAGAAAAGCAUUCGGUUAAUACCCGGGUGUUCUGACGGUACCGGAAGAAUAAGCACCGGCUAACUUCGUG